rnacentral:rRNA from 1 species
AUGGAGAGUUUGAUCCUGGCUCAGGAUGAACGCUGGCGGCGUGCUUAACACAUGCAAGUCGAACGAUGAAGCCCAGCUUGCUGGGUGGAUUAGUGGCGAACGGGUGAGUAACACGUGAGCAAUCUGCCCCUGACUCCGGAAUAACUACGGGAAACUGUAGCUAAUACCGGAUAUGCGCCGAACAGGCAUCUGUAUCGGUGGGAAAGAAUUUCGGUCAGGGAUGAGCUCGCGGCCUAUCAGCUUGUUGGUGGGGUAAUGGCCUACCAAGGCGGCGACGGGUAGCCGGCCUGAGAGGGCGACCGGCCACACUGGGACUGAGACACGGCCCAGACUCCU